UAGGGAAUCUUCGGCAAUGGACGAAAGUCCGACCGAGCAACGCCGCGUGAGUGAAGAAGGUUUUCGGAUCGUAAAACUCUGUUGUUAGAGAAGAACAAGGACGUUAGUAACUGAACGUCCCCUGACGGUAUCUAACCAGAAAGCGACGGCUAACUACGUGCCAGCAGCCGCGGUCAUACGUAGGUGGCAAGCGUUGUCCGGAUUUAUUGGGCGUAAAGCGAGCGCAGGCGGUUUCUUAAGUCUGAUGGGAAAGCCCCCGGCUCAACCGGGGAGGGUCAUUGGAAACUGGGAGCCUUGAGUGCAGAAGAGGAGAGUGGAAGUCCAUGUGUAGCGAUGAAUUGCGUAGGUAUAUGGAGGAACGCCAGUGGCGAGGGCGGCUCUCUGGUCUGUAACUGACGCUGAGGCUCGAAAGCGUGGGGAGCAAACAGG
rnacentral:rRNA from 1 species